AGAUGGCGACCGGCGCACGGGUGAGUAACACGUAUCCAACCUGCCGAUAACUCGGGGAUAGCCUUUCGAAAGAAAGAUUAAUACCCGAUGGUAUAAUCAGACCGCAUGGUCUUGUUAUUAAAGAAUUUCGGUUAUCGAUGGGGAUGCGUUCCAUUAGGCAGUUGGUGAGGUAACGGCUCACCAAACCUUCGAUGGAGUAGGGGUUCUGAGAGGAACGGUCCCCCACAUUGGAACUGAGACACGGUCCAA
rnacentral:rRNA from 1 species